rnacentral:ncRNA from 1 species
UACCUGGUUGAUCCUGCCAGUAGUCAUAUGCUUGUCUCAAAGAUUAAGCCAUGCAUGUCUAAGUAUAAAUAAAUUUAUAUUGUGAAACUGCGAAUGGCUCAUUAAAUCAGUUAUGAUCUACGUGACAUAUUACUUACUACUUGGAUAACCGUGGUAAUUCUAGAGCUAAUACCUGCAAAAAAAGCCCUGACUUCGGAAGGGGUGCACUUAUUAGAUAAAACCAACGCUGGGUAAAACCAGUUUCCCUUGGUGAUUCAUAAUAAUUCAGCGGAUCGCAUGGCCUUGUGCCGGCGACGGUCCACUCGAUUUUCUGCCCUAUCAUGGUGAUGAUUGUAAGAUAGAGGCUUACAAUGCCUACAACGGGUAACGGGGAAUUAGGGUUCGAUUCCGGAGAGGGAGCCUGAGAAACGGCUACCACAUCCAAGGAAGGCAGCAGGCGCGCAAAUUACCCAAUCCCGACACGGGGA